rnacentral:ncRNA from 1 species
UCCGAAGUUUCCCUCAGGAUAGCUGGAGCACGCAACGUUUCGGAACCUAUUCUUAUCUGGUAAAGCGAAUGAUUAGAGGCUUUAGGUUCGAAAUGAUCUUAACCUAUUCUCAAACUAUAAAUGGGUACGUACCAUAGCAUUCUCGCAUGAUGCUGUAGCAACGUUGACGCCGGGUCGCCCCCCUGUCAGGGUGUGCCAUCCACAAGCGGGGUAGAAGAUAUCUGUGUGCUUAGUGGGCCAAGUUUUGAUUAGCGGAAGUGGUGCAGUUAGAGCCACCGAGGUUCCUGAUUCGGCCCCUAAAUAUACCUCGAAUGUCUCCUACCUUGAAAAAUUUUUGUGUGUUUUAGCAGUAAGAUAUAGGA